rnacentral:rRNA from 1 species
AGUGGCGGACGGGUGAGUAACGCGUGGGCAACCUACCCCACACAGGGGACAACAGUUGGAAACGACUGCUAAUACCGCAUAGGCGCACAGCUUCGCAUGAAGCAGUGUGGAAAACCGAGGUGGUGUGGGAUGGGCCCGCGUCUGAUUAGCUGGUUGGCGGGGUAACGGCCCACCAAGGCGACGAUCAGUAGCCGGCCUGAGAGGGUGGACGGCCACAUUGGGACUGAGACACGGCCCAAACUCCUACGGAAGGCAGCAG